rnacentral:rRNA from 1 species
UGCGUAGGCGGAAUGAUAAGUUAGUGGUGAAAUCCCGCAGCUCAACUGUGGAAUUGCCAUUGAUACUGGUCGCCUUGAAUUAGUGUGAAGUGGCUAGAAUAUGUAGUGUAGCGGUGAAAUGCUUAGAUAUUACAUAGAAUACCGAUUGCGAAGGCAGGUCACUAACACUAUAUUGACGCUGACGGACGAAAGCGUGGGGAGCGAACAGGAUUAGAUACCCUGGUAGUCC